rnacentral:rRNA from 1 species
UACGAAGGGAGCUAGCGUUGCUCGGAAUCACUGGGCGUAAAGCGCACGUAGGCGGACUCUUAAGUCGGUGGUGAAAUCCUGGAGCUCAACUCCAGAACUGCCUUCGAUACUGAGAGUCUUGAGUCCGGGAGAGGUGAGUGGAACUGCGAGUGUAGAGGUGAAAUUCGUAGAUAUUCGCAAGAACACCAGUGGCGAAGGCGGCUCACUGGCCCGGUACUGACGCUGAGGUGCGAAAGCGUGGGGAGCAAACAGG